rnacentral:rRNA from 1 species
GCAUAUCAAUAAGCGGAGGAAAAGAAACCAACAGGGAUUGCCUCAGUAGCGGCGAGUGAAGCGGCAAAAGCUCAGAUUUGAAAUCGCCUUUCGGGGCGAGUUGUAGAUUGCAGGUGGGAGAGUUUGUGGAGGCGCGUGCCGAAGUCCCUUGGAACAGGGCGCCAUUGAGGGUGAGAGCCCCGUGCGACGCGUGCCGAAGCUUUAACUCCCCUCUGACGAGUCGAGUUGUUUGGGAAUGCAGCUCUAAGUGGGUGGUAAAUUCCAUCUAAGGCUAAAUACUGGCGAGAGACCGAUAGCGAACAAGUACUGUGAAGGAAAGAUGAAAAGCACUUUGAAAAGAGAGUGAAACAGCACGUGAAAUUGUUGAAAGGGAAGGGUAUUGGGCUCGACAUGGGAAUUGCGCACCGCUGCUCCUUGUGGGCGGCGCUCUGGGCUUUUCCUGGGCCAGCAUCGGUUUUCGCCGCAGGAGAAGGGGCUGUGGAAUGUAGCUGCUUGCAGUGUUAUAGCCACUGGCCAGAUGCUGCGUGUGGGGACCGAGGGCUGCGACAUCUGUCUCGGAUGCUGGCACAACGGCGCAAUACCGCCCGUCUUGAAACACGGACC